CAGAUAGUGUUCGAGGACGAAUACUAAUAUAGGACACCGAAAUAGGAGGGAGCAAUGUUGUAAACUCUGAUUUGUAACUAACUCUUUUCUUUGGGCUUUGGGACACAAUAUAUAAUGCUUCAAAUAUCUCUACUAGAUAUACUGAUAGAAUCUAGAGAAUAGAUUAGACAUUGACAUGACUAUGACUACAAUCUAUAGUGAUGGAUCUAGAAUCUUUUAAUUAGUAAUACUUUAAUAGCU